rnacentral:other from 1 species
AUCGGCCUGCUUAGUGCGUGAUAAUUCAAGUAUUUAAACCCACAAUAGAAAAAAUGGAGUCCGGCUUCCGCUGAUGGGAAUGCAGACCUCCCGACCGUUUCCUGAAUAACAGGCGGGUUUCCCGUCGGCACGAACGGCCCGGAUGUUGGGAGCACGAAACAGUGGAGAGGACACCAGCCUUGCGAGAGCAGGGUUUUCUAAUCUUGGAUUCACACGGCUCGGCGGGUUUUUG